CUUGCUGCCCCAUCGCGAGAGUCCUUCCUCUCCAGUUCGGUCCACCACCUGCCCCCAUGCUCGAUCCUCUGUGGAACCAGGAGCUGUCCCACACCUUAUAGAGGCAUACCUGGGAUGACGGACAAUGACUUGCCCGGGAUCACUUUGCCAAUUGGAAAGGAGGAAAAGUCCCACACCCGUGGCGCUGUCUCCGGAGGGUGCUGCGUCCAAGAGGCCCACCCGCAGGGAUGAGCCUGAGUGCGCGAAUCCAAGCACGAGAAGGGAGCUGGGAAUCUCCCGGUGGCUGGGGACCCCUGCUCCUUCUAGAGCCUCUGCCUCUAGGUCUUUAAUAAAGUAUAUACAAUGUGGCUACAGCUGGCAUAUGCCUUUAAAUCCUUUCGACAAACACUGCUGGGAAGGUGGUUCCAAUGCUGAAAGUUCUGAGGGCGAUGAAACAAAGGCAAGCCUCUGAGUCAGUCCCUCUGGUUGCUGCCAGACUGGUCGAAAAAUACAACCACAGCUUUUUGAGAACAAGGACCUUAUUGGCCUCUCUGGCACAAGCAAGCUGCCCAAGGAAUGUGGGCCACCAUCUCCAUAGCUGCUUUCUGAACUGGGGAUUGAGAGGUGGCGAUCACAGGGCACGCCCUAAGAAACCUGCACACUAACCUCCCUCUCAGACACUGCUUCUGGAGAGCCCAACCUGUGACCGCUGGGUCAGGAGGGGUCUGAGGAAGAAGAUGCUAAGAUGGGAUUCUGGCUCUGGAUCACCCACUGCCUAGCUGCUGAUAAGGAUCCUUUUGCUGGGGGUAGAUGGAGCGGGUACAUGCCCCCGCACAGAGCAGAGGAUGCCAAGAAAACACAGUGAGGAAAGGAUUAUCUCUUCAGUGUUGGGAAAACUGGAUAUCCACAUGCAGAAGAAUGAAACUGGAACUUUACCUCACAUUAUGUACAAAAAUCAACUAAAAAUAGAUUAAAGACAAAAACCUAAGACUGGAGACUACAAAACUAUUAGAAGAAGAAAACACAGGGGUAAGCUUCUUGACAUUGACCUGGGUAAUGAUUUUUUUGGACACGACACUAAAAGCACAAGCAAAAAGGCAAAAAUAGACAAGUGGACUGCAUCAAACUGAAAAGCUUCUGCACAGCAAAGGAAACAAAAGAGUGGAAAAGGCAACCUAUGGGAUGAGAGAAAGUAUUUGAAAACCAUGCAUCUGAUAAGGGGUAAAUAAAUAUCCAAAAUAUAUAAGGAACUCAUACAACUCAGCCAAAUAAACAAAAAAACCCAAAUAACACAAUUUUAAUUUUUUAAUUUAUUAUUUUUGAGAUGGAGUCUUGCUCUGUUGCCCAGGCUGGAGUACAGUGACAUGAUCUUGGCUCACCGGAACCUCCACCUCCCAGGUUCAAGCGAUUCUCCUGUAGUUGGUUCAAGCCUUCCGAGUAGUUGGGAUUACCAGUGCCUGGCUAAUUUUUUUAUUUUUUAAGUAGAGAUAAUUUCACCAUAUUGGCCAGGCUGGUCUUGAACUCCUGACCUCAGACUAUCCACCCGCCUUGGCCUCCCAAAGUGCUGGGAUUACAGGCGUGAGCCAUCGUGCCUG
rnacentral:lncRNA from 1 species